ensembl:lncRNA
CUAACCCUAAUGUACAGACUGAGGUAGGUCCAGAUCACUGUAUCACUAACCCUAAUGUACAGACUGAGGUAGGUCCAGAUCACUGUAUCACUAACCCUAAUGUACAGACUGAGGUAGGUCCAGAUCACUGUAUCACUAACCCUAAUAUAAAGACUGAGGUAGGUCCAGAUCACUGUAUCACUAACCCUAAUGUACAGACUGAGGUAGGUCCAGAUCACUGUAUCACUAACCCUAAUGUACAGACUGAGCUAACUAACUUCAACUCUAAUUUCAACACUAACCCUAACUUCAACCUUAACUACAAAAUUAAGUGUUUAUUAUCAAUGAUGUAGCAUGUUGUGUUUGUUAUGAAAUGUAGCAUGUGGUGUUUGUUAUCAAUGAUGUAGCAUUAUGUGUUAUGAAUGAUGUAGAACGUUGUGUAUGUUAUGAAUUAUUUAGCAUGUUGUGUUUGUUGUGAAUGAUAUAGCAUGUUGUGUUAUGAACGAUGUAGCAUGUUGUGUUUGUUGUGAAUGAUAUAGCAUGUUGUGUUAUGAAUGAUGUAGUAUGUUGUUUGUUAUGAAUGAUGUAGCAUGUUGUGUUUGUUAUGAAUGAUGUAGUAUGUUGUUUGUUAUGAAUGAUGUAGCAUGUUGUGUUUGUUAUGAAUGAUGUAGUAUGUUGUUUGUUAUGAAUGAUGUAGCAUGUUGUGUUACGAAUGAUGUAGCAUGUUGUUUGUUAUGAAUGAUGUAGCAUGUUGUGUUUGUUAUGAAUGAUGUAGCAUGUUGUUUGUUAUGAAUGAUGUAGCAUGUUGUGUUA